rnacentral:rRNA from 1 species
AGCGAACGCUGGCGGCAGGCCUAACACAUGCAAGUCGAACGAACUCUUCGGAGUUAGUGGCGGACGGGUGAGUAACACGUGGGAACGUGCCUUUUGGUUCGGAAUAACUCAGGGAAACUUGUGCUAAUACCGAAUGUGCCCUUCGGGGGAAAGAUUUAUCGCCAUUAGAGCGGCCCGCGUCUGAUUAGCUAGUUGGUGAGGUAACGGCUCACCAAAGCGACGAUCAGUAGCUGGUCUGAGAGGAUGACCAGCCACACUGGGACUGAGACACGGCCCAGACUCCUACGGGAGGCAGCAGUGGGGAAUCCUGCGCAAUGGGCGAAAGCCUGACGCAGCCAUGCCGCGUGAAUGAUGAAGGUCUUAGGAUUGUAAAAUUCUUUCACCGGGGACGAUAAUGACGGUACCCGGAGAAGAAGCCCCGGCUAACUUCGUG